AUCCCUCUAGCGCAAUGGAAGCGCGUUGGGCUUCUAAUUCAAAGGUUGUGGUUUCGAAUUCAACUUGGGAUG